rnacentral:lncRNA from 1 species
CUGAGGAGGAGGAAGAUGAGGAUGAGGAGGAUGAGGAUGGAGGCGCUGAGGAUGAGGAAGAUGGGGGCACUGAGGAAGAGGAGGAGGAGGAAGAUGAGGAUGGAGGCACUGAAGAUGAGGAUGAUGAUGAUGAUGGGGGCGCUGAGGACAAGGAUGAAGGCACUGAGGAGAAAGAGGAGGAAGAUGAGGAGGAGGAAGAUGAGGAUGGAGGCACUGAGGACGAGGAUGAAGACGAUGAGGAUGAGGAAGAUGGGGGCACUGAGGAAGGUGAGGAGGAGGAAGAUGAGGAGGAGGAUGAUGGGGGCGCUGAGGACAAGGAUGAAGGCACUGAGGAGGAGGAGGAGGAGGAAGAGGAGGGAGCUGAGGAUGAAGGCACUGAGGAUGAGGAGGAGGAAGGUGGGGGCGCUGAGGAUGAGGAUGGGGAGGAAGAGGAUGAGGAUGGAGGCCCUGAGGAGGAGGAGGACGGGGAUGAAGGCCCUGAGACCACGCGCGGAGGCCCCGAGGAUGAGGAGGGCGAGGCCCC